GAGGAUCAGACUGCAGGUGAAACCACCGUUUCAAAGGUGGAUAAUGCCGGUCCCAGCGGUUUCACUCGCAGUGGAAGACUGUUUGCUCCCGAUGCUCUGAGAGGUGGGGAAGGAGAAAAAGAGAAAAAAGAUAAGGCCGAGGCUUUAGCCAGGGCGAAAGGAAAACAAGCAGUGGUGAAUGAUGGUACUCCCGUAGUGACACCGGCGCCUGUUGGGUCGGAAAAAGAAC
rnacentral:lncRNA from 1 species